GGUUUCUUGUUAAUUUAUAGGAAAUUUAACCUGCCCACUGAUAUAAAUAAGUUUAAAUGGCCGCAGUAUUUUGACUGUGCAAAGGUAGCAUAAUCAUUAGUCUUUUAAUUGAAGGCUGGAAUGAAUGGUUGGACGAGGUAAAAGCUGUUUUAUAUUGAAAUAUUGAAUUUAACUUUUAAGUAAAAAUUCUUAAAUUGUGUUAAGGGACGAGAAGACCCUAUAGAGUUUAAUAAAUUUAAUUUUAAUUGGGUUUAUAAAAAAUUUUUGAUUAAAAUGAUUUUUAUUUAAUUGGGGUGAUUAGAAUAUAUAAUUAACUUUUCUUUAAAUUUAAUUUUUUUUGUUAGUUAAAUGAUCCAUUUUUUAUGAUUAAAAGAUUAAAUUACCUUAGGGAUAACAGCAUAAUCUAUUUUGAGAGUUCUUAUCAAAAAAUAGGAUUGUGACCUCGAUGUUGGAUUAAGAUAUAAUUUAAUUGCAGAUGAUUGAAUGUUAGGUCUGUUCGACCUUUAAAAUCUUACA
rnacentral:rRNA from 1 species